rnacentral:rRNA from 1 species
GAUGAACGCUGGCGGCGUGCCUAACACAUGCAAGUCGAGCGAAGCGAUUUUGAGGAAGUUUUCGGAUGGAAUCGAAAUUGACUUAGCGGCGGACGGGUGAGUAACACGUGGGUAAUCUGCCUUAUACAGGGGGAUAACAGUUAGAAAUGACUGCUAAUACCGCAUAAGCGCACGGGGACGCAUGUUUCUGUGUGAAAAACUCCGGUAGUAUAAGAUGAGCCCGCGUCUGAUUAGCUGGUUGGUGGGGUAACGGCCUACCAAGGCGACGAUCAGUAGCCGGACUGAGAGGUUGGCCGGCCACAUUGGGACUGAGAUACGGCCCAG